rnacentral:rRNA from 1 species
UAGGGAAUCUUCCGCAAUGGACGCAAGUCUGACGGAGCAACGCCGCGUGAGUGAAGAAGGAUUUCGGUUCGUAAAACUCUGUUGUUAGAGAAGAACAGCGCAUAGAGUAACUGUUAUGCGUGUGACGGUAUCUAACCAGAAAGCCACGGCUAACUACGUGCCAGCAGCCGCGGUAAUACGUAGGUGACAAGCGUUGUCCGGAUUUAUUGGGCGUAAAGCGAGCGCAGGCGGUCAAUUAAGUCUGAUGUGAAAGCCCCCGGCUCAACCGGGGAGGGUCAUUGGAAACUGGUUGACUUGAGUGCAGAAGAGGAGAGUGGAAUUCCAUGUGUAGCGGUGAAAUGCGUAGAUAUAUGGAGGAACACCAGUGGCGAAGGCGACUCUCUGGUCUGUAACUGACGCUGAGGCUCGAAAGCGUGGGUAGCAAACAGG